rnacentral:rRNA from 1 species
CGGGAGGCUCCACCAGUGGGGAAUAUUGCACAAUGGGGGAAACCCUGAUGCAGCGACGCCGCGUGAGUGAAGAAGUAUUUCGGUAUGUAAAGCUCUAUCAGCAGGGAAGAAAAUGACGGUACCUGACUAAGAAGCCCCGGCUAACUACGUGCCAGCAGCCGCGGUAAUACGUAGGGGGCAAGCGUUAUCCGGAUUUACUGGGUGUAAAGGGGGCGUAGACGGUGAGACAAGUCUGAAGUGAAAUCCCGGGGCUCAACCCCGGAACUGCUUUGGAAACUGCCUGACUGGAGUGCAGGAGAGGUAAGUGGAAUUCCUAGUGUAGCGGUGAAAUGCGUAGAUAUUAGGAGGAACACCAGUGGCGAAGGCGGCUUACUGGACUGUAACUGACGUUGAGGCUCGAAAGCGUGGGGAGCAAACAGGAUUAGAUACCCCGGUAGUC